GCACCGAUAGCUCAGUGGCAGAGCGGUGGGGCGUUAACCCAUGUGGCCUGGGUUUGAGCCUCGGUCGGUGCA